rnacentral:rRNA from 1 species
ACGUAAACGAUAAUCGUGCAGGAGAGUAAGAUGCCAUCCUAUCAGUUAGUAAGUAGGGUAAGGGCCUACUUAGACGAAGACGGGUACGGGGAAUGAGGGUUUGAUUCCGGAGAGGGAGCCUGAGAGAUGGCUACCAGGACCAAGGUCAGCAGCAGGCGCGAAAAUUAUCGAAGCCCGCCUAGGGGCGAUAGUGAGGAGACGUGUAUUCGAAGUACGUGUAAAGAACGUACUAAUAACUGGAGGUCAAGUCUGGUGCCAGCAUCCGCGGUAAUUCCAGCUCCAGGGGUGUCUAUGAUGAUUGCUGCGAUUAAAAAGUCCGUAGUCAAGCUGACUGACUGACCUGCAAUGUGAUUGAUUAAAGAACGAGCAGGGUUAGGAAAGCAGAGAAUUAGGAGCGACCGAGGGCUAGAGUAUUGAAUGGCGAGAGGUGAAAUUUGAUGACCCAUUCAGGAGUGACAAAGGCGAAGGCACUAGUCAAGGGCGAAUCCGAUGAUCAAGGACGUAGGCUAGAGUUUCGAAAACGAUUAGAAACCGGAGUAGUUCUAGCAGUAAACUAUGCCGACGCCGUGAUAUUGUUUUUUGUGGCGGUAUUGCGGAAGAGAAAUCAAGUAGGGCUUUGGGGAGAGUACGCGCGCAAGCGAUAAAUUUAAAGGAAAUUGACGGAGGAACACCACAAGGAGUGGAGUGUGCGGCUUAAUUUGACUCAACGCGGGACAGCUUACCAGGCCCGAUAAUCGAGCGAGCGUAGUACGCGAUAGAUUAAAGAGUGGUGCAUGGCUGCUAUCGACAGUUGGGGUGACCUUAGGGUUAAUUCCGGCAAGUAGUGAGACCCCUGCAGAUAGUGGACAGGUAUUUUUUAAAAUACAGGAGGGAGGGGACAAGAGCAGGUCAGUGAUGCCCUUAGAUGGCCUGGGCUGCACGCGCACUACAGUGGUCAUUAUAAGUAGAAGUUAG